rnacentral:lncRNA from 1 species
AGAGGACUCAACUGAAAAUAGCUAAUUCAUCGAAGAGACAUAAACCUCUAAGAUUGAUAACAUUGAUUGGGUGGCAUUGAUAUCAAAAUUUGAAUAUCCCCAUCCUUUGAGGUCUACAAUACAGCUAGAAGAGACAUAAACCUGUAAGAUUGAUAACAUUGAUUGGGUGGCAUUGAUAUCAAAAUUUGAAUAUCCCCAUCCUUUGAGGUCUACAAUACAGCUAAACUGUUCCUGACCGUUUGACAUCCUGCCAGAACGUGGUAAUAUAUAUCACAUUCGAAUAGUUUGUUCAUUAGUUUAUUAUAUGCUUUAUGACGCAUU